rnacentral:rRNA from 1 species
ACAGAGGUGGCAAGCGUUGUUCGGAAUUACUGGGCGUAAAGGGCGCGUAGGCGGUCUUGCAAGUCCCGUGUGAAAUCCCUCGGCUCAACUGAGGAAUGGCACGGGAAACUGCUUUGCUUGAGGCCGGGAGAGGCGAGUGGAAUUCCCAGUGUAGCGGUGAAAUGCGUAGAUAUUGGGAGGAACACCAGUGGCGAAGGCGGCUCGCUGGACCGGUUCUGACGCUGAUGCGCGAAAGCGUGGGGAGCAAACAGGA